rnacentral:rRNA from 1 species
GACGAACGCUGGCGGCGUGCUUAACACAUGCAAGUCGAGCGGUAAGGCCCUUUCGGGGGUACACGAGCGGCGAACGGGUGAGUAACACGUGGGUGACCUGCCCUUAGCUCUGGGAUAAGCCUGGGAAACUGGGUCUAAUACCGGAUAUGACUCCAUGACGCAUGUUGGUGGGGUGGAAAGCCUUGUGCGGCUAGGGAUGGGCCUGCGGCCUAUCAGCUUGUUGGUGGGGUGANGGCCUACCAAGGCGACGACGGGUAGCCGGCCUGAGAGGGCGACCGGCCACACUGGGACUGAGACACGGCCCAGACUCCGUACGGGAGGCAGC